rnacentral:rRNA from 1 species
ACGUAGGAGGCAAACGUUAUCCGGAUUUACUGGGCGUAAAGCGCGUGUAGGUGGUUCUGUAAGUAGGGCGUGAAAGCUCCUGGCUCAACUGGGAGAGGCCGAUCUAAACUGCAGAGCUAGAGGAUGGAAGAGGGAGGUGGUAUUCCGGGUGUAGGAGUGAAAUGCUGUGAUCCCUGGAGGACCACCAGUGGCGAAGGCGGCUCACCGGGACAUUUCCGACAGUGAGGCGCGAAAGCUAGGGUAGCAAACCG